UUAAAUCUCUUAAUAUUGAAUUCAUUAAUCGUUGAAAGGUUGGCGGGGCAUUCUUUAAUCCGAAAGGCAUCCUUCUGAAUUCAUAAUGCCUAAAUGGUGUGGAAAAUGCCGUUUUCUUUCGGUCAUGGUGAAGUUCUUUUGCUAAGUCGAGUGUCGUGAAGUACUGAGCCUAAUUUUUCGAGAAUAGUUUCGAUGUUUGGAAUUGAAAAUUUAUCGUCUACCGUAACUUCGUUUAGUUUCCUGUAAUCAAUAACGAUGCGCCACUUUUUUAUAUAUAAUAACUUUUUGGGCACAAUCCACAAGGGUGAAUUGAAAGGGGAGUUACUCUCUGUGAUUAUACCAUUUCUGUUAUUUGCCUUUUUAUUUCCUGCUCGUUUAUUUGGGGAUACCUGUAUAUUUCGGAAUAUAUGGGUUUAUCGGUUGUUGUAACGAUUUCGUAUUGUAUUGUGUGAGAAUGCGAUAGUUUUUGCCCAUCCUGAAAGAAUAAAUCACUAUUUUUUGAUAUGAUAGUUUUGAGGUGUUCUGCUUCCUCGGAAUUCGUAUCCUCUCUAAUUAACUUUUUAUAAAGUUCUUCGUCGGCAUUAAUUGUUUCAAGUGCAUGUACUUCGUUGAUAUUAAAUGGGCAUGUACCAACGAAUUUCGUUCGUAUGUUAUUGAUUUCGAGGUAUUCGUCCUCGAUGCUUAUAUGUGCCUUUAAGGGUGCUGAAGAACGAUUAACGCUGAUAGAAGAGCAACGGCUCAUGGAAGAAAAACGUCAACGAAUGCGUAAAGAAGAAGAAAAGCAAAGCAGAACAAACGAUGACACUGGGGGAAAAUAAUUAGGGCGGAAGCUCUUAUUUCCUCUUAAGCCUCAAGUAUUAAUACUUGUACAUAGAAUUAAAUAUCCAACACAACAUACCACCCUAGGCGUGGAUGGUAUUCCAAAUAAGGUCUUACAUAUUGCCAUUAAACGCAAUGCGAGACGAUUUACUGAAUUGCUUACGUGGUGCUU